GGUUGCGAUCAUACCUGCACUAAUGCACCGGAUCCCAUCAGAACUCCGCAGUUAAGAGUGCUUGGGCGAGAGUAGUACUUGGAUAGGUGACCCCCUGGGAAGUCCUCGUGUUGCAACCCC
rnacentral:rRNA from 1 species